rnacentral:rRNA from 1 species
UACCAGCACCCCGAGUGGUCGGGACGAUUAUUGGGCCUAAAGCAUCCGUAGCCGGUUCUACAAGUCUUCCGUUAAAUCCACCCUGCUUAACAGAUGGGCUGCGGAGGAUACUAUAGAGCUAGGAGGCGGGAGAGGCAAGCGGUACUUAGUGGGUAGGGGUAAAAUCCGUUGAUCCAUUGAAGACCACCAGUGGCGAAGGCGGCUUGCCAGAACGCACUCGACGGUGAGGGAUGAAAGCGGGGGAGCAAACCGG